AAGUAGAGGGCUAUGUGCGAAAGAGCAGAUGGGUUGGGUACGCGAACUAGAUGAGUUGAGAACAUGAACCAUAGAGCUGCCCGCCAAACGCUGCUCGAACCGCUGAAGUCUGGUGGAGCCAAGUAGGUUGGGUAGGGCAGAGAUAAUCACCAGAGUAGGGCGGCUAGCAGCCUGGUGAGACUCCCUCUAUUUUGGGUGGCUAAUGAGAAGAUUUUGAUAGAAACCCAAAAAUAUACCCUAAAAUAUUCUUAAUCUGCUCUGAUACCAUGUAGAAAUUUAGGAAAAAAUAUUUACUUUAUUUCCAUUAUGUUUUUUUGUUACAAAUGAC
rnacentral:lncRNA from 1 species